rnacentral:rRNA from 1 species
AACGAACGCUGGCGGCAUGCCUAACACAUGCAAGUCGAACGAGACCUUCGGGUCUAGUGGCGCACGGGUGCGUAACGCGUGGGAACCUGCCCUUCGGUUGGGAAUAAUUCCCCGAAAGGGGUGCUAAUACCGGAUAAUGUUUUCGAACCAAAGAUUUAUCGCCUUUGGAUGGGCCCGCGUUGGAUUAGCUAGUUGGUAGGGUAAAAGCCUACCAAGGCGACGAUCCAUAGCUGGUCUGAGAGGAUGAUCAGCCACACUGGGACUGAGACACGGCCCAGACUCCUACGGGAGGCAGCAGUGGGGAAUAUUGGACAAUGGGCGAAAGCCUGAUCCAGCAAUGCCGCGUGAGUGAUGAAGGCCUUAGGGUUGUAAAGCUCUUUUACCCGGGAUGAUAAUGACAGUACCGGGAGAAUAAGCUCCGGCUAACUCCGUG